GACAGAGGAUGCAAGCGUUAUCCGGAAUGAUUGGGCGUAAAGCGUCUGUAGGUGGCUUUUUAAGUCCGCCGUCAAAUCCCAGGGCUCAACCCUGGACAGGCGGUGGAAACUACCAAGCUGGAGUACGGUAGGGGCAGAGGGAAUUUCCGGUGGAGCGGUGAAAUGCGUAGAGAUGGAAAAGAACACCAACGGCGAAAAGCACUCUGCUGGGGCCGACACUGACACUGAGAGACGAAAAGCUAGGGGGGGAGCAAAUGGGG
rnacentral:rRNA from 1 species